GAAAGUGUACUGUCACCUAUGAAUAUGGUGACACCCAAAAGACAUUCAAAAUAAAGCCUUUGCAAACUCAUUCUCUCAUUCUGCCAAACCAAUUUGUGUUACACUGCCCUCUGUUGUAAGAAAAACGACAUUGCAAUGUGAGUGAUUUUUUUUUCUUUUUUUGACCGGGACCCUUAAAAAUAAACACAUCGAAUACUCCCUCUACUAGAAGGUACUAGAAGUCUCCCAGGUCUGCUAUAUUAUGGUGAUAUUGUAAAAUCUAAAAAUGACAGACUAUACCAGGAGGUCAGAGGUAGGUGUCAAAAACAGAAGACUUUAAUAUUUAGCAAUUAGGAAUAUAUAUAUUUGUUUAAAAACCUUUGACUCAAUAAAGCUCAAAUGUAGCUUUUAAGGACUCUAAAGAACAUUUUUUAGCUUUGCCCAAUUUAAAAUGAAGCAAUUACUUGUGACCCCUUAUGGGUAGUGAGCUAUUUAACUAUGUGAUAUUUUGGCUUCUUGGAUUUCUUAUUUGUAGGAUUUGUGAAGGCAUGUAUAGGUGAAAGUGUCCAGUAUUUGACCAGAUCAAUAAAAACAAACACAUUUCCUAUAUCAGAUGGUUUCAGUAUUUCUUAUUAAUCCCCAGGUGGAGACCCCAGGCCUUUAGGAACAAGUGAGUCCGCGGGUUCUUACUCUCUUUAUCCUUAUAGACAGCCCCUGUGUAUCCUACAUGACCAUAGGCCUUCUAUGGCAUGCGCUGCCAGUGUCCAUGUACACAGAUUUUAUUUUAUUUUUUUAAGACAGCUGAAAAAAUAAUAAUAGGCUCUCGGCACGACAUCUGGUAGCUGCGUCAAAGGGAGGUAGUUUACGGUAAAACGGCGCCCAUUACCAUGUGAUUUCACCGAUGUUUGUAAACAUGCGUCAGCCACAUGUGAUUCUGGCGAUGAGGAAAGACUCUCCAGAAGCCUGACCAACCAGCGACCGGGGGAGUGUCAGGGGCGGGGUUCCCGUGUUGCGCUAUGGAAAAUCGUUAGGGGGAUACACUGUGAUAAACGUACGCAUCGAGAUUGCUAAUAGCAACAGUAACAGGCAGAAACGGGAACCCAGUGGACUGACCGUUGACCGAAGACCGGGUCUGACUGACGCCGGCAGGGAAAUGGACGAGACUCCUUCGGCACGGGAACAGCCUUGGGAUAAACACGACCUGUUUCAUCUCACAGCACAGUCAACCCCGUUUGGACCAGGAGCAGGACUGGAUGCCUGAGGCAGACCCAGGAGAGGACACAGUAUCCUAUUGUGCACUACAAAGAAGUCUACAGGGAGCUGCGGAGAUCUAUUUUUCCACACUAUGAUUCAUAGACAGUUUUUGUUGGGGUUCAGUGCUGGUGCCAGUCUGCUGUCCUGCCCUUUCUUACACCGAGAUCCUGGUCAUCUGAUGCACUUGUAACGCAAGGAAUUGAGCUGCUGUGUCAUUCUUAGAUGUGCUGGCCGUGACUCAGUAGUUCAUCUCAUUGGUCUCAGUGCCAGCAAACAGUCUGCAUCCUCUUUAGUUUUCGGUUCUUUUUCUUUUUCUCUCUCUCUCUUUGGAAAGAGCUAGAGUCCCAGGUUUACAGGACAACAGCAUCAGCGCAAACAGGGACCUUGGGGAAUAUCUCAAACUUAGCAGUGUAUAGACUAAAAUCUGCUGCGUUUUUAGCAUGUAUUGGUUUCUGUGGUGAGUUAAAACAUAGUUUGUGGGGAGAUUUCACUUCACAGUGUGAUAAAACAGGUUGGUAUUCUGUUUCACAUUAAAAUAACCAAAAGUUGAGAUGAUGGUUAUCAGACAUUCUUUUAUGAAAUUUCAACACCACGCCUAAACUUGAAAGGCAGUGUUACAAACAAACUGCAGAAGUUUACACAGGCAAAAGAGGUUUUUAUUGCGUGUGAGUACGAAAUCAGAGUUCUCCCUAUCAGAUGGCCAUGAGAAGAACAGAUAUGUGCCCUGAAGAGUUGGAAUUUGUUUUCCGUUGUAAAUGCAGCCAGAACAAAAAGGAACAGGUUAUGCAACUAACUGCCUGCAUAGCAUGUUUCUGUCUCAUUGUAGUGAGAUCCAUUACCAUCUUACAUUGUUCAUCGAAAUAUGUUUUGUCCAGAAGAUGGAUCUGUAAAGACAGUAUGCCCUAGAACAUGUCCAUCCUUAAGCAGUUUGACAAGAACGUCUCUCUGAGGGAAAAUUAAAUUAGUAUCAAUUUAAUUAUAUUUCUUCAUACAAAUUAAUUAACAAAAUAAUUACCUUAGUAAAAUCCACUCAACAUGUUGAUUCAUGUUGUUGUCUCAGGUCUAAAUGUUUGUCUUAACCCUUAACCCUUUUUUCUAAUUUCAGAUGGGAAAGUGGCAAUGUUUUUUCUUAAAGGCAUCCUCCCCAGGGAACUGGUUUCAGAUGGUGUCUUAGAGUAUAAAAUCCCAUCUAGCACCAUUUGAAAUCGGUGUUCUUGAGCGGGAACAGACUUCAGGAAUGCUGACAGCGUACAACCAACUAAGCAACCAGUCUCAUUCACUAACUUGCUAAAAGGUUUGGGACUGCAAGUUUGGUGACAAUGUUUGCAUGUGUAUUUUUUACAAACUAUUCCAGAUUUAUGAUACAUUCAACAAUAAAUUAUCAUCAGUCAAACAGUCAUACAAACAGACUGAGGGAUAUUCACUGACGAUGGCUGUUUAUGACAGUCAGUGCUCUCGACCAGUUGCUCAUACAGCUCGCGUUUCACUGAUCAGAAGACAACAGUGUCAAAGUCCAGUCCUCUGCCCACCUGACCCCCUCUCACCAAGGCUGACCGUUUUCCUCUGGUGUUCAGAGUUUCCAUCAUGUCUAGCACCAUUUGAAAUCGGUUACAAUGUGGAGGGACUAUCAACAGAGUUUAUUUGCCUGACCAGACAGUCUCUGCCACCCAGUACCAAGCAACAGGGACAGCCACAUGGACUCACAUCAACUCUGAUCCCAAGUCCUAGUGUGCUGUGCUUUACAUAUUAGUUAACAUAAACCUGCAACUGGCAAGAGCCACAGCUGUUGGGCAUGCACAUGCAGUAUAUACACAUGAACAUUGCACGUGUACAGGAUAUACAUACAGAUAUAUUUUAUUCUGUCUGUUAUUCCUAUUUUAUCUCAUUUUAUUUUAUUUGUUACUUCCUUUUUUCUGAUGUAUAGGCAUGCAAAGAAAUUUCUGUAAUGGUAACAACAUUCUUUGUGCUGCUGUGUCAAAUUACAGGGGCUCAAUAAAGGUGCAGCUUAUCCUAAACCACCAGAAGAUGGCAGCAUUGAGCUGCAAUUCUUGCUAUCCAAGGCUACUGAGAUGGUUGGGAUUCUUGAAGCAGUGAAUGGUGACCCUGAUCAGGUGCAAGAAAAAAAAGAACAAAACACACCUUAAUGCCGAGGAGAUUCUCUUCUUUUUCCAUGUUGCUGUCACUCCCAUACUGUAGUUUUCUUCUAGGGACAAAUGAUAAAGAAAGCGAUUAUCUGGUUAAAUGCUUCAGUAGUUCAGAGGUUGUGUAUCUGCCCAGUGAAAAUUUACAGUUAAAUGAACAAAUUUCUAUACUGUAUUUCCAUUAAUAAAAUUAAUAUAUAAUAAAACUGAAUCGCACCGGC